rnacentral:rRNA from 1 species
CAGCAGCCGCGGUAAUACGUAUGUCGCAAGCGUUAUCCGGAUUUAUUGGGCGUAAAGCGCGUCUAGGUGGUUAUGUAAGUCUGAUGUAAAAAUGCAGGGCUCAACUCUGUAUUGCGUUGGAAACUGUGUAACUAGAGUACUGGAGAGGUAAGCGGAACUACAAGUGUAGAGGUGAAAUUCGUAGAUAUUUGUAGGAAUGCCGAUGGGGAAGCCAGCUUACUGGGCAGAUACUGACGCUGAAGCGCGAAAGCGUGGGUAGCAAACAGGAUUAGAUACCCCCGUAGUCCCUGUCUCUUAUACC